GUCCACGCUAGUAAACGAUGGGUACUAGGUGUCGCGGUAUUGACCCCUGCGGUGCCGUCGCUAACGCAUUAAGUACCCCGCCUGGGAAGUACGGCCGCAAGGCUAAAACUCAAAGGAAUUGACGGGGGCCCGCACAAGCGGUGGAGUAUGUGGUUUAAUUCGACGCAACGCGCAGAACCUUACCCAGUCUUGACAUCUUGGUAACGCCCUAGAAAUAGGGAAGUACCCUUCGGGGAUCCAAAGACAGGUGCUGCAUGGCUGUCGU
rnacentral:rRNA from 1 species